AAAAGUCGUAACAAGGUUUCCGUAGGUGAACCUGCGGAAGGAUCAUCAGUGAAAAAAAUAAAAAUAUUCACUAUUUUACAUACACCCCUUUUUGUGAAACUGAAAAUGUGCACUUGUGCACAUUUUUAUUUUUUAUUUUAAACCCCCCCUUAUUUCCAUAUUCCGUAAAAUAUACCCCCCUUUUUAUUUAAAAAAAAGACACAACUUUUAACAACGGAUCUCUUGGCUCUC
rnacentral:misc_RNA from 1 species